GUAAGAGAUGAGUGCUAGUGUUAGAGGGUUUCCGCCCUUUAGUGCUGAAGUUAACGCAUUAAGCACUCCGCCUGGGGAGUACGGCCGCAAGGCUGAAACUCAAAGGAAUUGACGGGGGCCCGCACAAGCGGUGGAGCAUGUGGUUUAAUUCGAAGCAACGCGAAGAACCUUACCAGGUCUUGACAUCCUCUGAAAACCCUAGAGAUAGGGCUUCUCCUUCGGGAGCAGAGUGACAGGUGGUGCAUGGUUGUCGUCAGCUCGUGUCGUGAGAUGUUGGGUUAAGUCCCGCAACGAGCGCAACCCUUGAUCUUAGUUGCCAUCAUUAAGUUGGGCACUCUAAGGUGACUGCCGGUGACAAACCGGAGGAAGGUGGGGAUGACGUCAAAUCAUCAUGCCCCUUAUGACCUGGGCUACACACGUGCUACAAUGGACGGUACAAAGAGCUGCAAGACCGCGAGGUGGAGCUAAUCUCAUAAAACCGUUCUCAGUUCGGAUUGUAGGCUGCAACUCGCCUACAUGAAGCUGGAAUCGCUAGUAAUCGCGGAUC
rnacentral:rRNA from 1 species